rnacentral:ncRNA from 2 species
CGAAACCGCGCGGGAGAGUGCCCUGACAGCCGGUCAGGGUCCCUGAAGGAGCAAGCCCUCCCCGCGAACCUCUCAAGGCAAAGGACCGCGCGGACGAG